CGGGUGCACUGAUCCGGCCGGGCCUUUCCCUCUGUGGAACCCCAUGGCCUUCACUGGCUGUGCGGGGGAAACAGGACUUUUACUGUGAAAAAUUAGAGUGCUCCAGGCAGGCCUAUGCUCGAAUACAUUAGCAUGGAAUAAUAGAAUAGGACGCGUGGUUCUAUUUUGUUGGUUUCUAGGACCGCCGUAAUGAUUAAUAGGGACAGUCGGGGGCAUCAGUAUUCAAUUGUCAGAGGUGAAAUUCUUGGAUCUAUUGAAGACUAACUACUGCGAAAGCAUUUGCCAAGGAUGUUUUCAUUGAUAAGGAACGAAAGUUAGGGGAUCGAAGACGAUCAGAUACCGUCGUAGUCUUAACUAUAAACUAUGCCGACUAGGGAUCGGACGAUGUUAUUUCUUGACGCGUUCGGCACCUUUCGAGAAAUCAAAGUGCUUGGGCUCCAGGGGGAGUAUGGUCGCAAGGCUGAAACUUAAAGAAAUUGACGGAAGGGCACCACCAGGGGUGGAACCUGCGGCUUAAUUUGACUCAACACGGGGAAACUCACCAGGUCCAGACACAGUGAGGAUUGACAGAUUGAGAGCUCUUUCUUGAUUCUGUGGGUGGUGGUGCAUGGCCGUUCUUAGUUGGUGGAGUGAUUUGUCUGCUUAAUUGCGAUAACGAACGAGACCUUAACCUGCUAAAUAGCCCGUACUGCUCUGGCAGUUCGCCGGCUUCUUAGAGGGACUAUCGG
rnacentral:rRNA from 1 species